GUGGAAAAUGCAAAUGUAAAUUCAACCGCAAAGCCAGCCGACGGCCAAGCGAAGCCCCCCACCUCAUCACACCUGGAAGUGCCAGUAACUGUUGAGCUGGGCUGUUGCUCUCUACCUGGGACAUUCCCGCGCCCCACCCUUCACAAACCUGCCCCCUUCCUGGGAUGUCUGCCCUCCCUCCCCAGCUGCCCCCCUGACUGGAGGGGACUGAAUGUUCUACACCUUGGAAUAAAGUUUCCUGACCCUGAAACUCUGAGUGGAUCCCAGGGCCUUUCCCCUCUAAGGGAACCAGCUCCCACCAAGCCCCAGCAUGGGGAUGGGCUGGCUGGGGGUCAGGGAAGGGGACACCGGGGCCUCUCCUCUCUAGCGGGCGCUAACUACAGUGUAAGGACGACAACCACCAGCAGCCCCCUGGAAAGCUCCUGGUUCUGCCACACUGGGCACCCCUCCUGGUAUCCGAUGAAAGUGCAUCGAGUUGGCCCAACUCUUGCUGAAGCCCCACGUGGGCUGGCUACAAGCAGAGGCCGGCUGCCCUCCAGCCCCUGCUCCCCUGGCCAAGAAAGGCCCCUGAGACCUCUGGAGUGGGGGUGGAGCAUGGGCAGGGCCCCCAGCUUCCUGCCUCCACCCAGCUGUUCCCUGUCUAAUUCUCAGCUCAAGUUAUGUCCUCAUCUGCCCCUCACGCUGGCAUUCCCCUCAGCAAAGCAGCCACCCUGCUGCCCUUCAUGUAGCCUUCAGUCCAGGGUGCAGGUGAGCAGGACUUUAGAGAAGUUUUUGUGGAGCCAUGGAGCGCUCCUCACUACCCCCAGCAUCUCUCUCUUGAGCUUAAUUGCAUGGAGCCUCUGCUUGCCUUAGUUUUCUUCUCUACAGUGCGUGCUACCUUGGGGUUGGGAAAGGCCUAUGCUGCCUGGUUCCAGGUGCAGCAUUGACAUCUGUGCCUGUAGUUGGGGAUGGGAGUGUGAUGUCCCUCUCCCCCAGGGAGGGUGCAGGCUGGCCAGGAUCGUGUGACUAGCUGUCCUGCUUUUAGCGGGAUAGACCUGAUAUUCAGGGCUUGUCUUGCAGCUGGGCCUAUUAACCCCCUCCCAGUUUUUCACACUUGCCAUCUGAGCCCCCCUCAGGGAAGUUCCAAAGGGCUAGCCAUGUUGGUCUAUUGCAGAAAAACAGAGUCCUGUGGCACUUCUGAAGACUAACAGAUUUAUUUAUUGCAAAGUGUCUGAUGAAGUGGGAUUUUCUUCCACGAAAGCCCAUGCGAUAAAUAAAUCUCUUAGUCUUCAAAAGUGCCACAGGAUGCAGUUUGUUUUUCCCCUAGGAGCAGGCAGGAUCCCUGCCACCUCUCAGCACGUGCAGCAGCAUGGAGCAUGACCCAGGUGACUCUGUGAGGGACACCCCCUUCCUUGCAGUGGGGAGGCUUUGACCACACUCCUCUCAGCACAUCCUAUCGGUUUGUUUAGGUUCCUCCCCCUCAGCUGGCGGUGCCUCCUGCGGUGGCUGCUGUGCGUGCCCCUGGGGGGUGGGUGCCCAAUGUGGAGUGCUGGGAAAGUGCCAGAAAGGGCACUGCUCGUGGAAUAACCUCAGUCCCUUCACCCCAGUACUCCUGGUGCCCAGCCCUACCCCCUGCUCUCCUCCCAGAGCUAGGGCUUGAAUCCAGGAGUCCUGGCUCACUCCCACUUUUCUGGUCUUUGCUCUGACCUCCCCUGGUAGCAUCCUGCCCCCUGGCAAAAAUAUGAUCUGUUAGUUGCAGAGCCCUGGCUGAAACAGUGGGGCAGGGGGCAGUAGUUGGUUCCAGAGAGGGGAGGGGUGCUGGGGCAGAGGCAGGCCAUGCUGAAUUUUCAUCAGCUGCCUCCUGCUUCUGCCCCCCCUCCCCCUCCAACACAGGCACUAGAUAUACAGACACCCUCGGGCUCCCUGCUGCCUCCAGGGAUGAGAGGUUAGGGGGGAGCUUUGAGCUGAAUGUGCUGCUUGUUGCCCGGCAAGGGUUAAAAAUUCAUCAGCCAGAAGGGGUCCGUUGGACUGUCACGCCCUGUGUUAUCCGCCCCACCUAGCCCAGUGCCCCGUAGCCAUCCUUCCCCCUGGAUCAGACCCUAUGGCUAUGUCUACACUUGAAAAGUUAAGUAGACUUAAAGUGUACCGUAUUAAGUCAACUUAACAGAAGUGGACUUAACUUUUCAAGUGUUGAUGUGGCCCCGUUUCAACCUUAUUAAGUCAGCUUAACGUUUUAAGUCGACUUAAAAAGGUCCACGUAGGCACUACUCUGCGUCUCCAUUGGCUUAAAUUGACUUAAUAAAGUCGACUUAAGCACUAGUUCGAAUU
rnacentral:lncRNA from 1 species